rnacentral:rRNA from 1 species
AACCUGCGGAGGGAUCAUUACAGAGUUGCAAAACUCCCUAAACCAUCGUGAACGCUACCUAAACCGUUGCUUCGGCGGGCGGCGCCCUCGCGCGCCCCCCUGGGGCCCGCACCGCGGGCGCCCGCCGGAGGUACACCAAACUCUUGAUAUGUUAUGGCCACUCUGAGUCUCCUGUACUGAAUAAGUCAAAACUUUCAACAACGGAUCUCUUGGUUCUGGCAUCGAUGAAGAACGCAGCGAAAUGCGAUAAGUAAUGUGAAUUGCAGAAUUCAGUGAAUCAUCGAAUCUUUGAACGCACAUUGCGCCCGCCAGCAUCCUGGCGGGCAUGCCUGUUCGAGCGUCAUUUCAACCCAUCAAGCCCACGGCUUGUGUUGGGGACCUGCGGCUGCCCGCAGGCCCUGAAAACCAGUGGCGGGCUCGCUAGUCACACCGGGCGUAGUAGCAUACGACCUCGCUCAGGGCGUGCUGCGGGUUCCAGCCGUAAAACGACCUUCAGAACCCAAGGUUGACCUCGGAUCAGGUAGGAGGACCCGCUGAACUUAAGCAUAUCAAAAGGACGGAGGAA